rnacentral:lncRNA from 1 species
GCACAUGAGGGCAUCUGUGUAAUAGCUUAUGUAAAAGGAAUUGUGACGUUUAAUUGUUUCAGUAGGUCAACAAAUUUUUUAAAUUGGCCCGCGUCUUUGGUUUUAAUUAGUGUAACACCCUAAAAUUUGCCCUCCUCAUUCAUGCAUUCAUUUAGCAUUUCAUAUUGCAUUUCAUCAUGUCAAUCAGAAUUAGAUCCAAGAAACCUUUUUUUAAAAAUAAAAAAAUAAAAAAA